rnacentral:lncRNA from 1 species
AUAUUUCGAGUAAGAUUAGUAUCUCUAAUCUUAAAUUCAAGUCUUUUAUCAUCAUUUUUUGUAAAAUUUUUAUUUUCAGUCGUUUAUUUUUAGAUUCCUCGUUUGAUAGGUAAAUAAUACCGAAAAAUUAUGAAAUUUAGUUUCUAAAUAUUUUUAAUAGUGUAUAUCAAGAUUAACCGAGCCGAUCGUCGAUUUGGAAGCCGCAUCAUUGAAAAUAAUUUGGUAGCACGAAGGCCUCCGUGCUACCGAUAGUAUACCAGCGUAACUUAUAUAGAGCAGGGCUGCUGUGCUCUCAGGAGUAUGGAGGCCUCCGUACUCCUGAGCCGUUUUCGAUGAUGAAAUUUUCGAAUCGACAAUCGGCUUUGUUAGACUUGAUCUAGCCCAUUUGAAAUUUUUAGAAAAUAAUUUUUGUGCUUUUUUGAUAUCAUUUACUUAGUGAUCGAAAGGAUUCAAAAUCCACAAUUUUUAAUGGUUGAUAUUUGCCGUUUUCAAGUUUAACGGUGUAGAAGUAUUCAAAUCAGAUGAAAUUUUGAUACAAAAUUCUUUAUACUAUCUAGAACAAGAUCAAUAUUUUUGAUUAAAAAUUUAAUGCUAUAUCACCCCUUUUUAUAGGAUUUUUAUUUUCAGCCGUUAAAAAUUAUUGAAUUUGAUUCCCAAAUUGCAAAAAAAUUUUUCUAGAAACUUCAAAUACGCUAGAUCAAGUUUAACGGAGCCGAUCGUCAAUUCGAAAAUUCCAUCAUUGAAAACGGUUCAGGAGCACGGAGGCCUCCGUGCUCCUUGGAGCACAGCAAUCCUGCUCUCUCUCUCUCUCUCUCUCUCUCUC